UCUCACUCUCAAAUACAGAAACAGAGCAACAACAGAAAUGGCGAGCUCUCUCACCACCACUCCAAAGCUCACCUCCAUCUCUUCCUACCCAACUCUCCAAACCCUCCUCUUCUCCAGAAAGCCCCCAUCUUUCCUCUCCCUCCCCCAAACCCUAGCCUCCCCCCACCUCCUCCACCGCUCCUCCCGCCGCCGCGCUUUCUCCACACGCGCCUCCCAGUCUGACAACGGUGCCGACCCCUCCCGCCACUACGACUUCGACCUCUUCACCAUCGGCGCCGGCAGCGGCGGCGUCCGCGCCUCCCGCUUCGCCGCCAACUUCGGCGCCAAGGUCGCCGUCUGCGAGCUCCCCUUCGCCACCAUCUCCUCCGACACCGCUGGCGGCGUCGGCGGCACGUGUGUGCUGAGGGGAUGUGUGCCCAAGAAGCUAAUGGUUUACGCUUCGAAAUAUACACAUGAGUUUGAGGACAGCCAUGGCUAUGGGUGGCAGUAUGAGACUGAGCCAAAGCAUGACUGGAGCACAUUGAUGGCCAACAAGAAUGCUGAGCUGCAGCGCCUCACUGGCAUUUACAAGAAUGUGCUCAAGAAUGCUAAUGUCACUUUGCUCGAGGGUCGCGGGAAGAUAGUGGACCCGCAUACGGUUGAUGUGGAUGGGAAGCUGUAUUCUGCUAGACAUAUUCUAAUAUCGGUUGGGGGGCGACCCUUUAUCCCUGAUAUUUCGGGAAGUGAGUAUGCAAUAGAUUCUGAUGCUGCUCUUGAUUUGCCUGAGAGGCCUGGAAAAGUAGCUAUAGUUGGUGGUGGAUACAUUGCUUUGGAGUUUGCUGGUAUCUUCAAUGGUCUGAAGAGUGAUGUUCACGUGUUUAUUCGGCAAAAGCAAAUUUUGAGGGGAUUUGAUGAUGAGAUUAGAGAUUUUCUUUCUGAACAGAUGUCUCUGAGAGGAAUUGAGUUCCACACUGAGGAGUCUCCCCAGGCUAUCUUAAAAUCAGCUGACGGUUCAUUUUCCCUAAAAACUAACAAAGGAAUAGUUGAAGGGUUCUCACAUGUUAUGUUUGCAACAGGGCGUAGACCUAAUACAAAGAAUUUAGGAUUGGAGGCGGUAGGGGUGAAAAUGGCCAAGAGUGGAGCAAUAGAGGUUGAUGAAUUCUCUCGCACAUCGGUUCCCUCAAUAUGGGCCGUGGGAGAUGUCACAGACAGAGUAAAUCUGACUCCAGUGGCUUUGAUGGAAGGAGGCGCUUUAGCAAAAACACUUUUUCUGAAUGAGCCCACAAAACCUGAUUAUAGGGCUAUUCCCUCUGCUGUGUUUUCCCAGCCACCCAUUGGGCAAGUUGGUCUUUCUGAAGAACAGGCUACAGAGCAAUAUGGUGAUGUUGAUAUCUACACAUCAAACUUCAAGCCCAUGAAGGCCACUCUUUCAGGGUUGCCAGAUCGGGUCUUCAUGAAACUUAUAGUGUGUGCAAAGACAAACAAAAUUCUGGGGUUGGACAUGUGUGGAGAUGAUUCACCUGAAAUUGCUCAGGGGUUUGCAGUUGCUGUUAAAGCUGGCUUAACAAAAGCAGACUUAGAUGCCACGAUAGGCAUUCACCCAACAGCCGCUGAAGAGUUUGUCACAAUGAGGACUCCUACUCGGAAGAUUAGGAAAAAUCCUCCAUCUCAGGAGAAAUCAGGUACUGACGUGAAAGCUACCGCUGGGGUUUGAUAACGAUCAAUAAUUUUCUGCGAGAUACAGCUUCAAGGUGUGAACAGCCGUGUUGUCACUCCCAAAAGUUGUACAUGAAAGCCUUUUUGAACAGAUGGUGCCGGACAGUUAGCAGCUGGAUGAUGCUUGUUUCCUCGGAGGCCACGAUGAACUUGAACAUCACUGAAAAAUUAUACCGCAGUAGAGUGAUUUUUUUUGUUUUUGAAUUGGUAUUAGCUAUAUGAUCCAGCCUUGACAAAAAUUUAGUUUUACAGUAGUGGGUCGAUUAUAACUUUUCUCCUACGAUCUCGUAUCUUUGUACAAUCUAUACAGUUAUAAUAAAUUAUUUUACUUAAAGAAAUGUU